CUACGUUCGGAAGGGAGAAACGCUGAAAGCAUCUAAGCGUGAAACCCUCCCCAAGAUGAGAUCUCCCUGAGCUUCGGCUCCUGAAGGCUCCUGGAAGACCACCAGGUGAUAGGCCAGAUGUGUAAGGCCCGCGAGGGCUUGAGCUUACUGGUACUAAUCAGCCGUGAGGCUUGACCAU
rnacentral:rRNA from 1 species